GCCUCCGUAAUCUAAUGACUUAAGACACUCGUAUGGAGUACAAGAGAUCCAGGUUCGAUUCCCGGCCGAGGUA
rnacentral:tRNA from 1 species